ACGGAAGGCAGCAGUGGGGAAUAUUGCACAAUGGGGGAAACCCUGAUGCAGCGACGCCGCGUGAAGGAUGACGUAUUUCGGUAUGUAAACUUCUAUCAGCAAGGAAGAUGAUGACGGUACUUGACUAAGAAGCCCCGGCUAACUACGUGCCAGCAGCCGCGGUAAUACGUAGGGAGCAAGCGUUAUCCGGAUUUACUGGGUGUAAAGGGCGUGUAGGCGGGACAUCAAGUCAGAUGUGAAAGCACGAGGCUCAACUUCGUGUCUGCAUUUGAAACUGACGUUCUUGAGUGUUGGAGAGGCUAACGGAACUCCUAGUGUAGCGGUGAAAUGCGUAGAUAUUAGGAAGAACACCAGUGGCGAAGGCGGUUAGCUGGACAAUAACUGACGCUGAGGCGCGAAAGCGUGGGUAGCAAACAGGAUUAGAUACCCUGGUA
rnacentral:rRNA from 1 species